AAGGCUUCACUUUGUUGCUCUGCAGAUUCCCAAUGAAAUGCCACUCUAUAUCUCCAGGAAGCUUCAAUUUCAAAUCACAAAAAUAAAAAAGAUGAUCAAACUUUUCUAAAUCCAAAAGAUUCAAACUUUCAAACGGAUUCGAACCAGUGGGACCUUCUCAAUGAUCUCCUGUGCUUUCACCUUAGCUGUUUGAAGCUUGUUCAACCUCAGCUUCUCUUUCCGACAAAAAGAAAAGGAGAAGAAUAAGGUUUUGUCGUUUUUAUUUUUUCCGACUAAUUUUUAAAGGUUUUUGGUUUUGUCGUUUUAACCCCCAAACUUGAGAACUAGGGUUUCUAAUGGCUUCCUCAGAUUACGAGAUCAUCACUGACCCGUGCAGUAUGUAUGUCCCUGGACAAGAGCCCGAGGGUAUGAAGCUUAUGUUGGAGAAGAUUCGAGGGAAGCGUGACAAACGGAUUCACAAUCACACACAAGCUGAGGAGCAUCGUAUCAUCAACGAACAGAUCGUGAAGAGUCAGGGCUUUGAUGUUGAUUUCUCCAAGUUGCGAUACCUUUUCGAUUUCCAGCCUGCGUUUCUCGAUGAUUGCGAUAGCGAUACCGGCAGGGACUAUUUCGGUAGGAAGCUAUUGAGUGUUACAACAAAACAGAGGGGACUAGUUUUGAGUUCGUCGAGGUUGAGGAAGCAAAUAUAUACUCGAACAGCGGGAGGUCUUCUUCAUCACAUUUGUAGCCAAAGAUCCGCUUGACCAGACAUAAGUGUUUCAAGCUAAGGUCAUCCAUGUUUUCUGUAGGAAGAUUGUACACAGCUUCUGUAGGCUUAAACCCAACCAAGAAGUAACAUUUGAUGAUAAAGAGUCUUUUGCGAAGAAAGCGUCCAUUACAAGAAGAAAAAAAGAAAAGAAAGCAUGGUUGAAAAUUAAACCAGGGUGUAAUAAUUCAAACCUAAAAGUUGAUGGUUUGAGCCUCGGUGAUAAGCAAGCAGCCCAGCCCAAGAGCAAAGAACAACGGUCAUCAGCAGCUACUUAUAAAAACAGAGGAGAAGGAGAUGAGUACAAGCAAAGGACGAUGAGUGAGCUUCGAAAUCCAUUCUCUGCCCUUUCUUCAUUUGACUUAUCAGGAUGAUGCCAUCUAUAUACUAUAUCUAGGGUUUUAGGCUUAUCAUAUAAGUUAUGUGGAAUCAAUGGCGACUGUAAGAACUCGAGAGAGUUAAAAGAAAUCAAGAAGAUGAAGAGUGAAUCUA